rnacentral:rRNA from 1 species
GACGUAGGGCGCAAGCGUUGUCCGGAUUUAUUGGGCGUAAAGAGCUCGUAGGCGGCUUGUUGCGUCGACCGUGAAAACCCGUGGCUCAACUGCGGGCUUGCGGUCGAUACGGGCGGGCUAGAGUUCGGUAGGGGAGACUGGAAUUCCUGGUGUAGCGGUGAAAUGCGCAGAUAUCAGGAGGAACACCGGUGGCGAAGGCGGGUCUCUGGGCCACUACUGACGCUGAGAAGCGAAAGCAUGGGGAGCGAACAGG